rnacentral:rRNA from 1 species
GACGAACGCUGGCGGCGUGCUUAACACAUGCAAGUCGAACGAUGAAGCCGGAGCUUGCUCUGGUGAAUUAGUGGCGAACGGGUGAGUAACACGUGAGUAACCUGCCCUUGACUCUGGGAUAACUGCUAGAAAUGGUAGCUAAUACCGGAUACGACCCUCGGAGGCAUCUUCAGGGGGUGGAAAGAAUUUCGGUCAAGGAUGGACUCGCGGCCUAUCAGCUAGUUGGUGAGGUAAUGGCUCACCAAGGCGACGACGGGUAGCCGGCCUGAGAGGGUGACCGGCCAGACUGGGACUGAGGAACGGCACAGACUCCUACGGGAGGCAGCAGUGGGGAAUAUUGCACAAUGGGCGCAAGCCUGAUGCAGCAACGCCGCGUGAGGGAUGACGGCCUUCGGGUUGUAAACCUCUUUUAGUAGGGAAGAAGCGAAAGUGACGGUACCUGCAGAAAAAGCACCGGCUAACUACGUGCCAGCAGCCGCCGUAA